UGAAAGGGCAGCAUUCCUGGCUAGUAGAAAUCAAUUAGAUGAGGCUGGAGAUUAAUCUCACCCCUGGAGUCCUACCUGGUGUUUGCAUAUUAUGCAUCCAAUCAAUCAAGCUGGCUAUCAGCUGGGCUGUGAACAACUCCUGUGAUUAGCACCAGAUGGGGUGACAGGAGCAAACAGGAGACCAUGCUAAUGAGCCAGACAGCGUCUACAGGUCUGUUUCCUUCUGUUCCUCUGCCCAGCUCUUUACCACCUUCCUCUCCCCAGGGCUCAGCCUUGCCUUUCCUUUCCUUCCCCAUGUCCUAAUCCCUUCCCAGCCAUCCUCUCGUCUACCCCCGUUAAUCACUGAUCUGGGUGCUCAGCCACGUGGAAGAGAUUUCACCUUUUCCAGUUGGCUCCUAUGCUCUGAGCAGCUGCCGGCACUUAGCAGCGAGGCAGAGAACCAACACUCAGCGGAUAAUCGCCCCGCAUGUUUCUACAGCAGCGGUUCUCAACCUUUUUAGGCUCAAGAACCCCCUCGUUAGACUCAUGGCUGCCCUCAGAAAACGUCGGCUCUUUCGCUUCUUCUUUUGACGGCAGGAAAAACAGCACCUUCCCGAGGUCCAGAGAAGAGCUGUACGAGGACAGACCGGUCAGCUUAGAAAAGAGACGCUCGAAGGGGCACACGAGAAGGGCUUACAAAAUGCUAAAUGACAAGAGAAAGUCAACAGGGAUUUAUGGACGUUCCCUCACUACAAAAGAAACAAACUCUUCCCGUGUCUCCCAAGGCGUUAUGAUUGCUUAUAGUUGGUCCGCUUGUAGGCUCAGAAUCGUGGUUUGGGGCAUUAGCUGGUGGCAGCAGGGGUGACGACGUGAACGCUUCUGCCGCCACACGGCCCCCGCUUCUGCCACAAAACGAGAUGAGGAGGCAGUCUUUUGUACACGGCGCGUCGGUGACGGGCGCAACUCGUGGCCAGCGGUGGCGGAAGCUAAAUGCAGCCACGUUGUAGCGGGAAAGGGGUCGCUACGGAGCCUCCGCCUCGCAACGGCCCAGGCUUCAGCACCCGCUGUCCGCCGCCUUUUAACGCAGGCCUGUUUGUUAUGGCCCGGGGGGCCUCGCCUGGCCUACGACAGCCCUCCCUCGAGGAGGCCGCGGGGGACAGAGCUGACCCCCUGGGACAAAUACAA